CAGUAGCCGCGGGAAUACGGAGGGUGCAAGCAUUAAUCGGAAUUACUGGGCGUAAAGCGCACGUAGGCGGCUUUGUAAGUUAGAGGUGAAAGCCCGGAGCUCAACUCCGGAAUUGCCCUUAAGACUGCAGAGCUAGCAGGUGAGAGAGGUGAGUGGAAUUCCGAGUGUAGAGGUGAAAUUCGUAGAUAUUCGGAAGAACACCAGUGGCGAAGGCGGCUCACUGGCUCAUACUGGACGCUGAGGUGCGAAAGCGUGGGGAGCAAACAGGAUUAGAUACCCGAGUAGUCCCUGUCUCUUAUAC
rnacentral:rRNA from 1 species